AUGAAAGUGAUCAAGUCCCUGUUGGACGUCCUCAUCUGGACUCUCCUCUGCUGCUGCUUCACAGAGUCCAGAGGCCAGGUCACAGUGACUCAGUCUGCAGCAGUCAGCUCUGCUGUGGGAGGAACCGUCACCAUACCAUGGAGUGGAUCAAACUCUCGCUUCACUCUGACCAUCAGUGGAGUUCAAGCUGAAGAUGCUGCAGUUUAUUACUGUCAGAGUUAUCAUGAAAUCAACAGUCAGAAAGUGUUCACGUUCGGUGGAGGAACCAGACUGGAUGUUGGAAGUGAUACCCGGCCCACCCUGACGGUGCUGCCCCCCUCCAGAGAGGAGCUGCAGCAGGGGACGGCCACGCUCAUGUGCCUGGCCAACAAGGGCUUCCCCUCAGACUGGAGUCUGAGCUGGAGGGUGGAGGACAGCAGCAGCAGCAGCAGCAGCAGCUGGGAGCAGAGCAGCAGCCCCGGGGUGCUGCAGAAGCUGGACGGCCUCUACAGCUGGAGCAGCACCCUGAGGCUCCCUGCAGACCAGUGGAGGAAGGUGGGCUCUGUGACCUGUGAGGCCACCCGGGGCUCCCAGACUCCCCUCAGAGAGACACUGAGGAGAGACCAGUGUUCCCAGUCCUGACCGGACUCACUGGGACUCUCUCACUCAUCUCACCUCUGUCACUCUCUCUCUCUCCCUUUUUCUGUCUUCACACCAAACUGACUUCAGCAAUAUUCCUCUUCUG